rnacentral:rRNA from 1 species
GACGAACGCUGGCGGCGUGCUUAACACAUGCAAGUCGAACGAAGUGGCGAACGGGUGCGUAACGCGUAAUCAACCUGCCCUUCAGAGGGGGACAACAGUUGGAAACGACUGCUAAUACCGCAUACUGAAGGAGGGGAUUGCGUCUGAUGAUCUAGUUGGAGGGGUACCGGCCCACCAAGGCGAUGAUCAGUAGCAGGUCGGGAAGGAGGAACGGCGACAUUGGGACUGAGACACGGCCCAGAAUCCUACGGGAGGCAGAAGGGGGGAAUCUUCCGGAAUGGACGAAAGUCUGACGGAGCAACGCCGGGGGAGUGAUGACGGCCGUCGGGUUGUAAAGCUCUGUUAAGCGGGACGCGGUACCGUAAUAGAAAGCCACGGCUAACUACGUGCCAGCAGCCGCGGUAAUUC